rnacentral:rRNA from 1 species
CGAGCGAACAGGGAAGAGCCCAGCACUGAAUCCCGCGGUCAGAUCGAUCGCCGGGAAAUGUAGUGUUAGGAAGGGUCCGUUAUCUUCGCGCCCGUCGACUCGUCCAAGUCCAUCUUGAACGGGGCCACAACCCAUAGAGGGUGCCAGGCCCGUAGGACGAAGACGGUUGCGGAGAGGAUCACUUCCGAGAGUCGGGUUGCUUGAGAGUGCAGCCCUAAGUGGGUGGUAAACUCCAUCUAAGGCUAAAUAUGACCACGAGACCGAUAGCGAACAAGUACCGCGAGGGAAAGUUGAAAAGAACUUUGAAGAGAGAGUUCAAUAGUACGUGAAACCGUUCAGGGGUAAACCUGAGAAACCCGAAAGGUCGAACGGAGAGAUUCAUUCGCGGUUCGGGCGGUGAUCUAGAGCGUUGGGAAGACGUUACGUUCCUCGUGAGCGAGACGCCCCUUCGUCUCGGAUCCGCCGUCGAACGCGUGCACUUCUUUCCUAGUAGGACGUCGCGAUCCGUUGAGUGCCGGUCGAAGGGUCCGUAAGGAAGCCCGCGAACGCGAUGAAAAUCGUCGUUUGCGGACCUGCGGUCUCCUGUCCGGCCGCUCGACGGUGUACAGACGGUGAGAGACCGCGAUUUUCGCGCCUGGUCGGUCGCAAACGCGCUACGUGCGUCGGCUUUCGGUUUUACCGAUGAUGCCGGCCUCUAGCGGUUGUUGGCGAUCGUACUCUCGGGCAGAUCUCUUUUUAACCGAUCUGCGACGCUACAGCUUUGGGUACUCUCAGGGCCCGUCUUGAAACACGGACCAAGGAGUCCAGUGUGUACGCGAGUCAUUGGGUCCGACUAAACCUAAAGGCGUAAUGAAAGUAAAGAUCCGCAAGGAUCUAGGGAAGAUGACCGACCUUCUGGUCGGUCCGCACUCCCGGGGUGUCUCUAUCUUUUAUAGAUGAGGCGCACCAAGAGCGUACACGCUGGGACCCGAAAGAUGGUGAACUAUGCCCGGUCAGGACGAAGUCAGGGGAAACCCUGAUGGAGGUCCGUAGCGGUUCUGACGUGCAAAUCGAUCGUCUGAACUGGGUAUAGGGGCGAAAGACUAAUCGAACCAUCUAGUAGCUGGUUCCCCCCGAAGUUUCCCUCAGGAUAGCUGGCGCUCGAUACGAUUCUCAUCCGGUAAAGCGAAUGAUUAGAGGCAUUGGGGUCGAAACGAUCUC